UAGUAUGAAUAUAAAAUCAAACCGUGUUUCAAGUGCGUUCACAUUCUGUUAAUAAAUGAGAUACAAACACUGUAGAAUUGAUAAGAAAUGAACAAUGAGCAGUUUCUGGAUUUUACUUUUCAUCUUCAGCACCAUGUACACACUCCAUCCUGGUAGACACUGGGUUACUGCACAAUCUCUAACAAAGCCACCAGUUUAUCAGCCUGAUAAAGAGCUCAAUGUGAAUAUCGGAGACUCGGCGACUCUACAGUGUUGUAUUUCUGAAAAUAGAGAUGGAAUAAUUACAUGGUUUAAGCAACCAACGAGAGAAAAACCUCAGAUUGUAGUCACAGUGUAUAAAAGUGGUGGAGAAACUUUUCACACUGGAUUCCAAAAAUCUCGUUUUCGAAUAGAAAGAUCUUCAAACUGCUGCAAAAUGAUAAUUUUAAGCAUGACUCAGUCUGAUGAAGCCAUGUACUACUGUGCAAUGACAAGAUUCAACAUUGUGUUUGGAGAUGGAACUUAUUUACAAAUUAAAGGAGAAGAAAACCUGAAACCUCAAGAUCUAACACUGCUGUAGAAGAUUCUCCAGCAACGAUGCAGGAAUCUGAAGCUGAAUCACUGAAUUAUGCGGCUUUGCAAUUCUCCAAGAGGAAAACCAAAGCUGAAAAAAGAAAACCCGUCUCAUCAGAUGAGUGUGUGUACACCGAUGUGAAAUACUCUGUAAGAUAA